AUACGUAGGUGACAAGCGUUAUCCGGAUUUACUGGGCGUAAAGGGCGUGUAGGCGGUCUUGCAAGUCAGAAGUGAAAUUCCUGAGCUCAACUCGGGCGCUGCUUCUGAAACUGCAGGACUUGAGUGCUGGAGGGGUUAGCGGAAUUCUUAGUGGAGCGGUAAAAUGCGCAGAGAUUAGGAAGAACACCGGUGGCGAAGGCGGCUAUCUGGACAGUAACUGACGCUGAGGCGCGAAAGCGUGGGGAGCAAACAGGAUUAGAUACCCUGGUAGUCCACGCUGUAAACGAUGAAUACUAGGUGUAGGGGGUAUCGACUCCCUCUGUGCCGCAGUUAACACAAUAAGUAUUCCGCCUGGGGAGUACGGCCGCAAGGUUGAAACUCAAAUGAAUUGACGGGG
rnacentral:rRNA from 1 species